UUCAUCUUCCCUCACUAGUCAUCAUUUGCAUAUUCUCUUUUUUAAAGUGUUCUUUGUCCAGAUAAUUUUUAUUGCUGAUUUUUUAAAGCUAUGCUUCAUAUAUUCUGAUAAGAGUAUUACAUCUAAUCUUAGUUUGCUUUUAACUGGAGGUUGUGAAGAAUUUUCUGUAAUUCUUUUUCCCCUAAGAAAAAGUGUUUCUAGUUUUAGCCUUGACACUUAUGUCUGUGAUUAACAAGUUAAUUUUUGUUUGUGGCACAUGGCAGAGAUCAGAGUUUGUAUUUCGACGCCUUUAAUGCUCAUUAAAUGGUUGCAAUCUGAUUUGUUGACAUGCAUUUGUUUCAACAUCAGUUUGAACCACUAAUUGACAGUAUAUUUCUGCACCUGUUCCUUGACUUGAUAUCUGUAGACAUAACUUUUUUUCAGCCUACUUUUAAUAAGGGUUCAACCUCUCCUCUAGCUCACCACCCAGCAGAGGUAGUGGAAGAGAACAGUUAUUAGGCUAUGGGGGAAGUGGAUCUGUUCAGCAAGAGUUCUUUGGGGGCGAGCUCAGUCUUCCUUGGCAGCAGCCCAGUCCCAUGGCAAACACCAAAUGUGACUCAGCAGCUGCAGACCAGUCCUCUAGGCAGGCAGACACCAGGCAUGAACCAGCAACUGUAAUUCAAUCCUGAAGAAACCAAGGCUCACCAACUGGCCUGAGGAGAGGCCGCAGAAGCAGCAAGCUGCCUAAGGAACCUCAUGAGCAGUUCUUUGGCCAGUUUCUCUCAAUGGCAUCACUAGUUGAGAUCAACAAUGCUAUGUAGGGCAAACCAUACACCAACAAAUACACGCAUGUCACUGUAUAGCGAGGUGGAGAAAAUCAGACCAAGGCUCAGUGCUGUCUCCCACGCUCUGUGGGGUCAUAGUUAUACUCCUUCAUGGCAGGUCCUUUCACGUGCUUGCUAUAUCAAAACAUCCUUUCACCUGUGUGGCCUCAGGAAAACAUUCUUUUCACAUGUCUGUUUUAGCAAGACAUCCCUUCACCUGUGUGUCCCAGCAAAACAUCAUUUGAUGUAACUUAACUUUCCAAAGAAACUAGAAGUUUCCACUUCACAUAUCUAUCUACAUAUUCUUAAGUACAAUACAGCUCUAUCCCAGAUAUUGUGACUUGUGAUCUUGUGAUUCGGUAGUGUUGUACUUACAGGUUUAUUCACAUUUUUCAAGCUGCAGUCUUCUUGGAACUUAUAUGUUGAUUCUAAAAUGUGUAUGGAGGGCUUCAGUGACAGCUCAGUUUGUAAAGUGCUUGCUGCAUCUGCAACCAUGAUGACUUGAGUUCAACCCCCAGCCCCACAUAAAAAGCCAGGCAUGGUGGUAGGUACCUAUGAUCCCAAGGGCUGGAGAGGCAGAAGCCAGUAGACCUCUGGGACUGCUUAGGCAGCCAGCUCAGCCUAACAGACAAAUCCAGACCCAGUGAGAGGCUCUGUCUCAAAAACGCAAAGGGAACAGCUUUGGAGGUGCAAUACCCAAGGGUGACGUGUGGCCUCCGUGCUCAACACUUGAGCACAUGUACCUGCACAUACCUGAAUACACACUUGUAUGUAAACACACAGAUAAAAUGGCUGGAGUGAUGGCUUAGUGGUUAAGAGUGCUUGCUACUUUCCUAGAGGGCCUGAGUUUGGUUCCCAGCACCCGUGUCCAAGCUGCUCAGAACCAUCUGCAACUCUAGUUCCAGAGUAUCUGGCCUCUAAGGGCACCUGCACAUGUGUUUGCAUAUACACUCAUAAAUAAAAAUAAAAUAAAUCUUUAAAAAUGUCGCGCCCGCUCUCGGCCAGCAAGAACGACGCGACCACCAGUCCUUCUAACAGCAGUUUAUUCAGUCCUGAUUCUUCUUGUUUAUAUCUCCCCUGAACCCUGGGCCUCUCACUCCUUUUAUACUCUCUCUCAUCCACGCACCGCAGGCCACGCCCCCUCGCCAGUCACGAGGCUUCAGCUAAUCAGGGCAGCAGGGGCAAAUCUCCACCAAAUUGGAUUCACCUGUAUCCUGGUACACCUGCGCAGCACUCAAGAUGUUUGUGUCUUAUAUGAGGAAGUCAGGUGCAAGUCAUAUGACUUAGCUGCAGUCCCUGGCGCCUUUGGGACUGCCGCCACACCCGCUCCCCACAUAAAAAUGUAUAUUGAAAGAUGAAAAGACUCAGAAUGACUAAUACCAACAAUAUAGGUUUCAAGACUUUAAAAUGAUAUGCCAGUCAAUACAGGGAUGUGUUGUCAUUGGGGCAGAAAUAUAGAUCAGUAGAACAGAACAAGGAAUCUGGAAAUAGGUCCACAUCUAUUCAGCCAGAUGAUCUUGAUGAGAGUACUAAUGUAACCCAAUGGGGGAAAAGAUAGUAUUUUUACUUAGUAAAUGAUGCUGAGGGUUUAGGAAUGCACUUCAGUAUAGAGGAGCUCUUAUCUAGUGUGCAUGAGGGCCUUAGUUUAAUACCUAGCACCACAAAAACAAAGGGUGUUAGAACAGUGGCCUUUGUGCCUGGUGUUGGUUGCGCACACCUUUAAUCCCAGCACUUGGGAAGCAGAGGCAGGUAGAUCUCUGUAAGUUCGAAGCCAGCCUGGUCUACACAGAGAGAGAGAGAGUUCCAGAACAGCCAGGGCUACACAGAGAAAAGAAAAGAAAAGAAAAGAAAAGAAAAGAAAA
rnacentral:lncRNA from 1 species